rfam:Dipodomys ordii contig_50821, whole genome shotgun sequence.
GGUGGCUCAAUGGUAGAGCGCUUGCCUUGCAUGCAUGAGGUCCUGGGUUCGAUUCCUCAGCACCA